rnacentral:lncRNA from 1 species
UGUCUUCCUCCACUUCUUCUACUUUGGGUCGAAACAUCUGAGUUGAGAGAAGUCUCAUGUUGAUCAAUGUUUUGAUGAUUAGCUCGCUCCUCAUCAGGGAUACCCAUGUCGAAGAGAGGUGACCCUCCGUGUUAGGGGGUCUCAUGUUGAUGUCCACAAGGGCAACGAGCUCGCGUGUUUGAGUACGCCUAGUUUCGUGGAGCGUCUCAAAGAGCUUCUCAUACUGCUCAUGGAGGACCUCAUUCUUCAUUGCUAUCUUGUUGUUCUGAGCUUCUAGCUCAUCGACUUUAGCUUGAAGAGCAACCCUCUUUCUUUCAUUCUUUCAUUGCUUCGUACUAGGUGCAAGAGGGGUGUCAUUUUGUGAUGUGGCUUCUUUCGUUCCCCAUGUUGGAGAGGAAUGCUUGGUCAAAAGAGAGUGUACGAAUGGUGGAAACCAUCUUGGCAAAGCUGAAGAGAGUGGGAAUAAGUGUCGUUCCCACAAACGGCGCCAAAUGUUGAUGCACAAAAUCGGAGGUCUUGGAACAACGUAAAUCCGACCGUGAAUCUGCAAGUAAUGUAAAUAACACAAGAUGUAUCGUGGUUCACCGCAAGGUUUGGGCUACGUCCACACUGAUUAUGUAUUUAUCUGAGAAAUGAGGGAGAGAGAUUCAGAGCCUCUGAGGGAGAGAGUGAGAUCUCUGAUGGCCUAGGAAUUGGUCUCCCCUAAUUGUGAGGGUAAUGAGCCCUUUUAUAGAAUAAGGGCUCCUCACUUAUUACAUAUUUGCCCUUUCCUUUAUUACAUAAUUACAUUUAAAUCCCUCGAGUAUUUGUACCAGAUCUAAAUACGGAGGCUUUAAAUAUGGUAUAAACAGUAGUCCCCCAAGUCUUUAGUAAAGAGAGUCUUUUGGCUGAAGACUUGAAAUUCAGUCCAUGUGUGGGCCGAAGUAACUAGAUGUUGUCUUGAACUGAUGGUCAAUAUGAGGCAGUGCUAAAAAUGAAAUGAUGCUCAAUUAUAAGUAACACAUGUUACGAGGCUGCUCGGCUUGUGGCUUAUAUUGCCGUAGUUGGCUCGGCUUGUGGCGCUUGAAAGUGAAAGGGUCCAUUUUAUAGAAUAAGGGCUCGCUCCUCAAUACAUAAAUGAUGGGCUAGAGUUGAUACUCGCGGCGAUGCGGUUGCUCAGUAGGCGGCAAUGCUCUUUAAUGGUGGUGAGGGAGUCCCUUUUAUAGAAUAAGGGCUCACUCCUCAAUACAUAAGUGAUGCGCUAAGUCCCCUAAGUAUUAUUCAUGAAUGCUCUCUAAUGAAAGUGAGGGAGUCCUUUUUAUAAGAUAAAGGCUCGCUCUUCAGUACAUAGAUAAUAGGCUAAGUCCCUCAAGUUUUUUUCAUGAGGCCCAGUUGAGGCCUAAUAUAUGGUACAUAAUGUAGUCCCCCAAGUCUUUGGUCAAUAAAGUAUGUUGGCUGGAGACUUCAAAUUGAAUCCAAGUAUGGACCAAAGUGGCGGUUGUUUGGAUGCGGUAUUUGUAUACCCUGCAUUGAAGCUUUGUAGGUGAAGCUUUGCAAGUGAAGCUUUGAAGCUAGGGCUCUGUAAAUGAAGCUUUCGAAGCUGGAGCUUUUGUAAACGAAGCUUUUGAAGCUAGAGCUCUGUAAAUGAAGCUUUCGAAGCUGGAGUUUUUAUAAAUGAAGCUUUUGAAGCUAGAGCUCUGUAAAUGAAGCUUUUGAAGUUGAUUGACAUGAGUGAUGCUCAUGAAUGUUUAUGUUGAUUGAUAUGAGUGAUGCUUAUGGAUGUUGUCAUGAGUGAUGCUCAUGAAUAUUUAUGUAUGAAUGACAUAAGUAAUGCUCAUGUAUAAUUUGGAGUACUGGGCGUACUUUUGAUCACCUGGUUGGUGGCAUGAAGGAGAGUACG